rnacentral:rRNA from 1 species
GGCUGCAACCCGCCUGUAUGAAGUUGGAAUCGCUAGUAAUCGCGGAUCAGCAUGCCGCGGUGAAUACGUUCCCGGGCCUUGUACACACCGCCCGUCACACCAUGAGAGUCGGGAACACCCGAAGUCCGUAGUCUAACCGCAAGGGGGACGCGGCCGAAGGUGGGUUCGAUAAUUGGGGUGAAGUCGUAACAAGGUACC